UGUCAGUGACUUACGCUUGCUCAUCCACAGCCACGCUGGGGAGUGGGUUGGCUGUUGCUGCGUGGGUAAGGAUCCAUCAGAGACAGCGUCCCCAGCCUGCUGCUGGCGGUGAGCUCUGCCUUUGGGCCCGCUGUGAGCAGCCGCCUGGCAUGUAAGGUGUGUCAGAAUGGUGCGCGGUGAAUGGGAACUUUGGGAAGUGGUUAGUUAACGAAUUAAAUAAUUGCACCUUGCCCUUCUCCCUUCAUGUAAGCGUAACGAAUGCACAGUUCAGGUAAUAAGCAGAAACCAAGA
rnacentral:lncRNA from 1 species